AGUGAACGCUGGCGGUAGGCCUAACACAUGCAAGUCGAACGGCAGCACAGUAAGAGCUUGCUCUUACGGGUGGCGAGUGGCGGACGGGUGAGGAAUACAUCGGAAUCUACUUUUUCGUGGGGGAUAAGGUAGGGAAACUUACGCUAUUACCGAAUACGCCCUACGGGGGAAAGCAGGGGACCUUCGGACCUUGCGCGAUUGAAUGAGCCGAUGUCGGAUUAGCUAGUUGGCGGGGUAAAGGCCCACCAAGGCGACGAUCCGUAGCUGGUCUGAGAGGAUGAUCAGCCACACUGGAACUGAGACACGGUCCAGACUCCUACGGGAGGCAGCAGUGGGGAAUAUUGGACAAUGGGCGCAAGCCUGAUCCAGCCAUACCGCGUGGGUGAAGAAGGCCUUCGGGUUGUAAAGCCCUUUUGUUGGGAAAGAAAAGCAGCAGGUUAAUACCCCGCUGUUCUGACGGUACCCAAAGAAUAAGCACCGGCUAACUUCGUG
rnacentral:rRNA from 1 species